GAUGAACGCUGGCGGCGUGCCUAAUACAUGCAAGUCGAGCGAACAGACGAGGAGCUUGCUCCUCUGACGUUAGCGGCGGACGGGUGAGUAACACGUUGAUAACCUACCUAUAAGACUGGGAUAACUUCGUGAAACCGGAGCUAAUACCGGAUAAUAUAUUGAACCGCAUGGUUCAAUAGUGAAAGACGGUUUUGCUGUCACUUAUAGAUGUAUCCGCGCCGCAUUAGCUAGUUGGUAAGGUAACGGCUUACCAAGGCAACGAUGCGUAGCCGACCUGAGAGGGUGAUCGGCCACACUGGAACUGAGACACGGUCCAGACCCCUACGGGAGGCAGCAGUAGGGAAUCUUCCGCAAUGGGCGAAAGCCUGACGGAGAAACGCCGCGUGAGUGAUGAAGGUCUUCGGAUCGUAAAACUCUGUUAUUAGGGAAGAACAAAUGUGUAAGUAACUAUGCACGUCUUGACGGUACCUAAUCAGAAAGCCACGGCUAACUACGUG
rnacentral:rRNA from 1 species